rnacentral:rRNA from 1 species
AUUGAACGCUGGCGGCAGGCUUAACACAUGCAAGUCGAGCGGAGAUGAGGUGCUUGCACCUUAUCUUAGCGGCGGACGGGUGAGUAAUGCUUAGGAAUCUGCCUAUUAGUGGGGGACAACAUUCCGAAAGGAAUGCUAAUACCGCAUACGUCCUACGGGAGAAAGCAGGGGAUCUUCGGACCUUGCGCUAAUAGAUGAGCCUAAGUCGGAUUAGCUAGUUGGUGGGGUAAAGGCCUACCAAGGCGACGAUCUGUAGCGGGUCUGAGAGGAUGAUCCGCCACACUGGGACGGAAAGACGGCCCAGACUCCUACGGGAGGCAGCAGUGGAGAAUAUUGGACAAUGGGGGAAAACCUGAUCCAGCCAUGCCGGGUGUGUGAAGAAGGCCUUAUGGUUGUAAAGCACUUUAAGCGAGGAGGAGGCUACUGAGACUAAUACUCUUGGAUAGUGGACGUUACUCGCAGAAUAAGCACCGGCUAACUCUGUGCCAGCCGCCGCGGUAA